UACGUAGGGUGCAAGCGUUAAUCGGAAUUACUGGGCGUAAAGCGUGCGCAGGCGGUUUUGUAAGUCUGUCGUGAAAUCCCCGGGCUCAACCUGGGAAUUGCGAUGGAGACUGCAAGGCUAGAAUCUGGCAGAGGGGGUAGAAUUCCACGUGUAGCAGUGAAAUGCGUAGAGAUGUGGAGGAACACCGAUGGCGAAGGCAGCCCCCUGGGAUAACACUGACGCUCAUGCACGAAAGCGUGGGGAGCAACAGG
rnacentral:rRNA from 1 species